UCUAUUGAAGUAGAGCGUAUAACGUUCAUGGCUUGAGGUAGAGCACUCAAUGGGCUAGGGUAGCCCAAAGCUUGACCGACCCCAAGGAAACUCCGAAUACGGGCCAUGGGUUUGUACAGACAGACUUCGGGUGCUAAGAUCCAAAGUCGAAAGGGAAACAGCCCAGAUCGUACGCUAAGGUCCUUAAGCAAUCACUUAGUGGAAAAGGAAGUGAUCGAGCGAUGACAACCAGGGGGUGGGCUUGGAAGCAGCCAUCCUUCAAAGAAAGCGUAAUAGCUCACUGGUCUAGCUUCAUGGCACUGAAAAUGUCUCGGGGCUCAAGGGACUCACCGAAGCGACGAGACCUUGAAAUAAGCUUUUUCAAGUGUCAGUAGCGGAACGUUCUGUCAAUCGAGGAAGGUUGUUGGUGACAACACCUGGAGGUACCAGAAGUGAGAAUGCCGACAUGAGUAACGAGAAAUCAUGUGAAAAACAUGAUCGCCUGGCCAGUUCCAGGGUUUCUGCGUUCAGUCAAUCUACGCAGAGUUAAUCGGUCCCUAAGGAACCCCGAAAGGGCAACGUCCGAUGGGUACACGAAAGCGACGAAGUUGCUUUGACUACUGAACCAUGCGUGUUUGUUAAACCCGUGAAUUGGAUGAUUGGGCAGGGGGCUACAAAGUCACUCCGGCUUUACGCAGGGUUUCAACUCCCGGGAAAAAACUUCGUGGGAUUGGGAGGGCGAUUCGACAUUUGAAAUGCAAAACCAACCGUACCCCAAACUGACACGGGUGAACAAGUAGGAUAUACUAAGGCGCUUGAGAGAACCAUGUUGAAGGAACUCGGCAAAAUGGCCCCGUAACUUCGGGAGAAGGGGUGCUCUCCUAUCGAAGGAUUGGGAAAGCGGCACGUACCGGGGGUAGCGACUGUUUAUUAAAAACACAGGACUCCGCUAAGUGGUAACACGAUGUAUAGAGUCUGACACCUGCCCGGUGCCGGAAGGUAAAAAGGAGAAGUGUUAUAAGCUUUGAAUGGAAGCCCCGGUAAACGGCGGCAGUAACUCUAACUGUCCUAAGGUAGCGAAAUUCCCCGAC
rnacentral:rRNA from 1 species